UCGUCGGUUUCAUGGCAGCGAAGUGAGCAGACAAAAAAGGCAUCGUUUUUUUUCCACAUGAUCGUUCUGAGCAAAAUUCAGCGAUUUGCCAGGCAUAAACCACCGAUGAGACAGUACCCGUUCGGAUUCAGGACGUUUUCCCAUACAUUGUACCCGGUCGAAGCGAUGGUAAGCGAUGCAGAUAACUGGGUCAAAAAGGCGGAGGUUCUGGGAAUUUCUGCACUCGUUAGCGAUCUGAGUAUGACCAAGGACAAGGAAUCAGAACCGGCGACUGACAGUCCAGAGAAAGAGAAUGCGGAAAAACCUUCUAGUCCAUAGCUCCUGAAGAAAAACGAGCUGAAGCGAAUAUGGAGAAACAGCUUCCUCCACGGAAAAUGCAGAGGCAUGCAACGCGGCGAAUGCAAGUUUGCUAAUUGAAAUUAUUCGCAAAGAUCUAGUAGAAUUAAAACUGGAGGUGCUGCGAAACGAUCCUUUUUCGACGCUAUACUCGGUUAAAACUAUCGACGCUUUGCACCUGAUGCCGGAACUGCCCACCCCGAGAGCAGAUGAGCGCUGGGGAAUGUUUUCAGCCACCUGGAGGAGGAAGUUCAGCGCGGAAGAAAUGUUACCAGACUUCGCCGAUCUGGUAUCUGGACUUUUUUGAUGAUCUCAUACAGAUUGGGUGUGCAGAUGGGCGUUUAAAGUUCUGGGAGGGAACGACUGGUAACUUUUAGGAUAUAUAUGAAGCUGAAAACAACCACAACAAUGGGGUAACUAACAUAAACCUCGCCGGUGACAAAGUGAUAGUCGCACGGUUGAGUGAACGAAUCGAUUUUCUGAGACUGGAAACGUACACGUAAGGUUUUCAGAUCGAUUGGGGAUUUACGUCUGCAUAUGGGCGAACCCACGUACGCAGCGGUUCGGCAGGAAGCAUUAGUUUAUUUCAGCAACCCGCCGGCUCAAAUCCGUCCACAGCGUUGCCAGCUCAACAUCACGCAUCCGAGGAGGAGCUUCGAUGUAUGCUAUAGUUUCACCAGCAGGGUCACCGGUGACAUGUUUGGAAGUGGCGGGCGGUACAGUCAUUACUGGCAGCCAGGGCCACACUGUUAACGUGUUCCGGCUUGAUAGCCACCUAUUGCAGU